GGUAGGGGGUGUCGCUCUUGGAGCGGACGCGGCGGAUGGGUCUGCGGUCGAUGUCCUCCUCGGAAGAUGCCGCCAUUAAUGUGGGCACGGACUUCUGUACCACUCGUGGGAUACAGAGAAAGACCGGAACUUGGACUGGACUGUGACCACCACUCUCAACCAGACUGAGACCACCGCUCUGAGACCACCACUCUUGACCGGACUGCGACUACCACUCUCAGCCAGACUGCAACCACUACUCUUGACCAGACUGCAACAGUACUCCCAACUGGACUGCGAUCACCACCCUCGACUGGACUGCAACCAGCACUCUCACCAACAAGUUUUCCCUUUGCUUUUACGUUUUUGACUCAGGGGGACCACAUGGGGCUCAGCAGGGAGAGGGCGGCCCAACGAACACCGCUCUGUUCAUGCCCUACGGUGCUGGGUUAUACAUCUGGGUUUUGUGGGUUAAAACCAACUGUUUGUCAGUUUAAUUGUAUUUAUUGUAUUAUUUUUAUUAAAUUGUUAUUCUGACUUAUAAUCUCUUUUGCAUUGGGUUCAUUUCCCUGCUGGUUUACCUUUAAACCAGCACAAUGUGUCAUUUCACCCCCUUCUCAAAACUUCCUUCAAUUGCCACUGCUCUUCUGAGAUUAAUUUUUUUCACAUUUCAUCCUUUUUGCAAUUUUUCAGUUUCUAUUGCUCCUUCAUGCACAAAGGCCCAACCAGAUGAGAUUCAGGAUGCUAACUUGUGAUGAUGGUUAGGGGAAAAAACAAACAAACGAAAACCAUCAAGCUAAAGGUAAGAGGCAUAAACAGCACAGAGAGCUAUUUCCCGCAGGACAUAGCUGUUCUGGCUCCAGCACACAGAAUGGAAUCCCAAUUACAGGCAGGACAAUGUCUUUGAAGUCUUGAUCUCUGCCACACAUCCACCUCUGCAUUAGAGAAGGGAUUGGCAGCUAUAAUGUGAGUGCAAUGGCACUGAGAGAGAUUAGGAGGCAGCCAACAUCAGUUUCUGGCUCCCAAACCAGAUGCUGUUGAUGUUCUAUACAGCAUUUAAAUUUCAUGGAUUUCCACUAGCACAUACGCAAUCGAACUUGGAAAAGAAAACUAGAAACAAGAUAGUCCUCUGUCUGAUCUAUGUCUUAUAGGUCACUGAAUAAGGUUAGGAAGUAUUAGGAGAGAUCCUGAAAUACAGAGAGCUUAUACAUGAAAUAAAGUAGAAGUGUUCCCAUCUGAAAUAUUUGUAACAAAGAACUUCAGUAAGGAGAAAAUACAUACACAGAGGUGCACACACAUGUAGAAGAGUAUGCAAAACAAAUUUAGGUGAUAGGUUAAAAAUGUUUCUCCUGUCUGCACAGUUUGUUCAUCAAAUUUAGAUCCCCUAUGAAACAGUGAAAUAGCUGCUCUGACACACAUGGUCUUGCUAAAGCUGCAAAAGUGGGUUUUUACCCAGCAACUUAGGAAAAAUAUACUCUUUUUCUCUAGUCAUUCUCUGGCAAAGUGAAGUAUAUCUAAUUUUGUUAAAUUCCAAAACGUACUGUACACCAAAGUACUUGUAGGUGUUAAAGGAGAAUGUCAAGGAUGAGUCAAAGAUUAAUACCUAAAUUAUAAAGUGUGAAAUGGGAAUCACAGUCUUAAAUAUCAUGUUAAGAACCAGGAAGUAUUUACCUAGUCUAAAGCACUCUUGCAUUGUAAUAGGCAAAACGCUAUUCCUUUUAGUUAUAGAGGAUUCUUUAAUAGUUCCAUGCUUGAGCAGGAGGAUGUAUAGGAUGGAGUGGUAAUUUCAUGAGACCUUUACAAAUUUCAACAGAACUCUUAUUCAUUACAGCACUCACUUAGGUAUAAGGCUAUACUUCAGUCAUACCUACUUCCACUCUUCUGCAGAACAAGGAUGAAUUUAGGUGCUUAGAAUAAUAGAUGCUUGACUAGUUUAUUUCCUUCAAACAUACAGCUUCUUCCAUUAUUGCACUGUAAGAUUUGUAAGAACAAAUCAAAGAAGUUUUCUGCUUUCACCAAUCUGCCCCUUCAGUUAGCUCAUUGUCACGGUGUUUAUCCAUCUUCACACAGCUUUCUUUUGCUUUCUUAUUAAAAAAAAAAAAAAAAGAAAGAAAAUAAUAACAUGCCUACUUUACCAGUGGUCUUAACAAAUCAAAAAAAAAAAAAGAACCAAUUCCUAUGUGAUGCUGUCAUUGUUUCCUGCUUUCUCAUUUUCACCUUUUGCCUCUUACAUUUAAUUGUCAGCUCUGUGGCAGGGCCACUUUUUUCCUGUGUAUAUACAGUCCUACAAACAUACAUGGAUCAUUUAGGUGCUCUGUUGAAAAAGCCCAAUAAAUAGAGCAUAAAAGAUUAAA